GGAAAAUCAUCCCCAAAAUAUGUGAUCCUGACAAAUGGUUCCUUCCAGAACGCAGUUAAACCAAGUAAAUAAUUAAAAGGAUGAAAUAAUGAUUUUACAUUAAGGUAACAUGUUAAUCACAUACCUAAAAAAAUGGAAUUAUCUCGUUUUAUUUAAAAAAUCGAAUAUAUUUUCACUGCCAUCAAGCACACACUGAAAUACUUAAUGCGACCAAAUACACCGCAGUACUGCAGUACUACUUCCUCUAGCUACUAGCUAGUACCAGCUAGUACUUUUCCAUGUACUGACAAAGAUUUGCAUCCAGUCUCACUGCGAUCUCAGCAACGAAAUUGAAUACACAGGGCGUUUGCCCACCUAAGUAAUGGCACCAAAGCGGGCAGCAACAACAACACACUCUGUCAGUGUCCACACAGGCUCUUCUGUCAAAAUGAUGAAGAUUGGCAUGGAUCAUUCUCUGGAGGACUUUGGUGAGGUAAUAGAGGAGAAGUACAGAAUACCAGAUGAUGGAUAUUCACCCAUAGAGGGUGAACCAAUCACCUUCGAGGAAGAAGACGAUCAAAGUCCUGAAACGAGAACCGACACCAUAACUCUCCUGAUGAAAAUUGAUCAGCUCCAAGCAGAACUGAAAUAUGAGCGUAGAUGCAGGCAGCUGGCUGAGAGGGAACUGAAACAGAUGAAAGAGAUGAAUGACCUGAUGACCCAGAUGAGACACACUGCCCAUGACCUGAGGACUGUUCUGGACCAUGCUCGGGGGCAGCAGGGGAAUGAUGUGAAUGAUGUUGUGAACGAUGCUGUCACCCCAGAGAGCUGUGAGGGGCAGAGCAUCUCUUAUGCGGACGUGCCAGUUCAGAUGUCACAGGUGGUGUCACAGGAGGUAGAGCAGGACGCUAACUAUAUCCACCUCCCUGGGGGUCUGAGAGUGCAGAGGAAUCUGUACAAGGGGAUCUCAGAGAUCAUGGACUUCAAGAAGUACAUCUCAGCCAUGCUGAUGGUGCUGUUUGACAGGGAGACGCUGGGCACACACAGUCUGCAGGGCAGGAGGUGUAACAUCGCCAAAGAGGAAACGCAGAAACCUCAACUUCCCCCUGACAUCAUGAGAGGCCUUCUAGAUCACGUGAGGAUAAAGUUUGGUGUGGAUUACAGUGCGAUUCGAGCUGCCGUCAGAACAAAGUUAAAUAAUGAAGACAAACUGUUGAAGAAGAGACUUGGGAUCCGUUAAAUCUCCAUUCAAAAAAAUAAAAAUAACCAAAUACCAGGUUAUAAUCACACAAUUGUUUACAUUGCAAUUACUGUAUUCUGUCCUGUAAGUGCAAUGUUUUAUUCCACCAACAGAUGUCAGUGUUUAGACAGUUUAGUUGGUUGAUGUUACUUUUGAUCAGAAGGAUAUUGACUUUGUUUGUUUGUAUGAUUUAAGAGUACUGUAGACUACACAUAUUAUAGAUUACAUUUGUGAUUGAUUGACUCACAUAGUAGCCUUAACAACACAUUAUUCUAUAAUGAUUGUGCCUGUUAAAUACAUGUCUUUCUGAUUCCCACAACAUCCAAUCUGGUUUCACUAAUGCUAUUAAAUUACAUUUUUUAUAUAUAAAAAAAAACAUGUUAAACCCCUAACUGUGUGUGUCUGUACUCUUAUAGCACCCAGGGCAGUCCUGGAGG
ensembl:lncRNA